CUGCAAAGCAGUUUUUUGUCUUUUAUGAAAAUAUGACAAUUUCAAAUAUCUCUUAUGAUAAAGCAAAGUUUUUGAACACUCUUUGAUUUUGUAAUAAUAGCACCAUUGUUGAGCACAUUAAAUCAAUUAAUAAUUUGACCUAACUGUGUGCAUCCAUCCUUUCCCCAUCAGGGGCAAUAAGGAGUUAAAUGGUGCAGAUUGGAUGAUGUUGUAAAGAAUAUAAAUACAUAUGAGUAUGUAAUAUAAAUAUAUUACAUAUAAUAUAAAUACAUACAAGUGUUAUUAUUAGUCCUGUGAUUUAGGUAAGUUACAAUGGUAACCAUGAAACAGCAAAUUCUAUUUUUUUUUAAAAAGGUUCACUAAUGUUUAGGGAAGAAGUUAUGUCCUAGCUUGGUAUUAUCUAUUUGUCACACAGGAAACUGUUUAACUGUUAAAUUAAUCUCCUCUGCCUGCACGUGAUCCAUAUUCCUUCCAAUCCCUGCAUAUCUAUGUGCCUAUCUAAAAGCCUCUUGCACGUCACAAUUGUAUCAUAUUUUACCAACAUUCCUGGCAGUGUGUUUUUAGUGGGGAGGGAGGCUAUGCUCGCCCUGCACAUCUCCCUUCAAUUUUACUCCUCCCACCUUAAAGUUCUGCCCUGGGAAAUGUCUACCUAUCUAUGCCUUUCUUAACUUUAUAUACAGUAUACCCUUUAUAUACAGCAAACCUGGGUUCGAUCCUGAUUACUGGUGCUGUCUGUAAGGAGUUUGUACGUUUCCCUGUGACGGCGUGGAUUUUCCCUGGACACUCCGGUUUCCUCCCACAUCCCAAAGAUGUACAGGUGGGGGAAGAAACAGCGCUGGAGGAUCUGAGCCGCCAGGCAGCAUCUGUAGAGGGUAAAGAACAG